rnacentral:rRNA from 1 species
GACGAACGCUGGCGGCGUGCUUAACACAUGCAAGUCGAACGGAAAGGCCCUGCUCUUGUGGGGUGCUCGAGUGGCGAACGGGUGAGUAACACGUGUGUAACCUGCCCUUGACUUUGGGAUAACUUCAGGAAACUGGGGCUAAUACCGGAUAGGAGCUCCUGCUGCACGGUGGGUGUUGGAAAGUUUCGGCGGUUGGGGAUGGACUCGCGGCUUAUCAGCUUGUUGGUGGGGUAGUGGCUUACCAAGGCUUCGACGGGUAGCCGGCCUGAGUGGGUGACCGGCCACAUUGGGACUGAGAUACGGCCCAGACUCCUACGGGAGGCAGCAGUGGGGAAUAUUGCACAAUGGGCGGAAGCCUGAUGCAGCAACGCCGCGUGCGGGAUGACGGCCUUCGGGUUGUAAACCGCUUUCGCCUGUGACGAAGCGUGAGUGACGGUAAUGGGUAAAGAAGCACCGGCUAACUACGUG